GACAGAGGUCCCGAGCGUUAGACGGAAUCACUGGGCUUAAAGCGUGUGUAGGCGGAAGGGUAAGUACCUUGUGAAAUCCCACGGCUCAACCGUGGAACUGCUUGGUAUACUGCUUUUCUUGAGCCACUUAGGGGCAACCGGAACAAAUGGUGGAGCGGUGAAAUGCGUAGAUAUCAGGAAGAACACCCGUGGCGAAGGCGGCUCUCUGGGACGGUACUGACGCUGAGACGCGAAAGCGUGGGGAGCGAACAGG
rnacentral:rRNA from 1 species